rnacentral:rRNA from 1 species
AUUGAACGCUGGCGGCAGGCCUAACACAUGCAAGUCGAGCGGAAGAAGGGAGCUUGCUCCUGGAUACAGCGGAGGACGGGUGAGUAAUGCCUGGGAACCUGCCUGGUAGUGGGGGAUAACGUCCGGAAACGGGCGCUAAUACGGCAAACGUCCUGAGGGAGAAAGUGGGGGAUCUUCGGAUCUCACGCUAUCAGAUGAGCCUAGGUCGGAUUAGCUAGUUGGUGGGGUAAAGGCCUACCAAGGCGACGAUCCGUAACUGGUCUGAGAGGAUGAUCAGUCACACUGGAACUGAGACACGGUCCAGACUCCUACGGGAGGCAGCAGUGGGGAAUAUUGGACAAUGGGCGAAAGCCUGAUCCAGCCAUGCCGCGUGUGUGAAGAAGGUCUUCGGAUUGUAAAGCACUUUAAGUUGGGAAGAAGGGCAGUAAGUUAAUACCUUGCUGUUUUGACGUUACCAACAGAAUAAGCACCGGCUAACUUCGUG